rnacentral:lncRNA from 1 species
AAGAAAUCAAGAAUUAAAUCUUAGUCUCAAUUCUCUUCCUCAACUGUUACCAGUUGGUUGUGUGUUUAAAGUGUAAGAAAGGACACAUAUUUAUACUAAAAUACAAGAGGGGGGAAAAGAAUUCUGGCCGAUGUGGGACUAAGUGUGGUGUGGCGAGAGCCACACGAUUUGAUUAAAAGGGAAUGGCCAUGAUCAAAAGCUGGCGGUUGCCAUUUGUCCCUAGCUGGCGAGCGGCAUGUGAUUUCCUUGUGGGCUUGCGUGUUUGUUUUGUGGGCUGCACAUGUGUGGCCCAAUUGGCUGCACAUGUGUGGCCCUUUUUGUCCAUUUUUGCUCCUUUUUAGUCCGUUUUCGCUCCUUUCUUCGACUCGAACACUUUUUAUCUGUUUAUUUAAAAUAUGAGAAAUAAGUAACUAUUUAUAUAAUAAAACUUCGGAAUCGAAAUAAAAACAUAUAAAAUAUAAUAGUAAAUUAACUAAAUAAAUAGCAUAUUUUUAGGUGUAUCAGAGGGGCCAAAACUGCAUUUAAGCAUAUUUAGUAUUAGACUCAAGAGAGAGUACACAAACAUUCUGCUAGAAUAUAUCACGAGCUACCAUUUAGUAAUUGUGUUGAAAUCCAAUAACUUGAAGGGUCCGUUUGGAAUGAAGGAAAGAAAGUUGAAGGAAAGAAAAUUACGCAAAUCAAUGAAUGAAUUUGGUCUAAAGUU